rnacentral:lncRNA from 1 species
AAGAAAGAGCGAGAAAGAGAGUCAUGGCGACACCUCCGUUAGGGUCUACUGGAAACACUGAUAGCGGCGGCUCUGUGAGAACCCUUUAGAUGCACUAUGGCACGGUGCCUGCUUCAGGUGGCUGCUGAGGAGAAGAAACCCUUCAAUGCAUGCAAAGCACUCACGCCUGGCACGCAGGGAGCACCCAGAGGAAGCACUAGUGACCUCCCAGGCUGGAAACACCACAAGGACAGGGCACUGUCAGCUUCGCUGCUGCCCUGUGGGGCUCCACAUCACAGACUGAUAUGCUAGCAGGACCGCACACAUCUGCUGCCCAGGAAAGGACGGUUUCGUAUUUUCUGGAUUAUGACCAGCUAUUGAUCUACUUAUUCUACAAUCUGUAACCUACGUUUUGAUUUAUUUGGUCUUUUCUCUUAGACGGCCUGCCUACCAGCUAUGAAAAAGAACAGAAAACCACCAGGCAAACACUCCAGUUAUGGCCAACAAGUACUAACAGCUGACGAGGUGAAAUCCUGUCUGAAGUCACAGAUUUUGCUGAAGUCCCUUGGACUGUCAUCUCAAUUUCCUUCCCGAGAGACAGCCAAGACCAUGAACCUGGCGAGGUCCCUCCAACCCACGGUGAAAUAGCUUCUCGUUUACACGUGUCCAAGGACACAGGUCUCCUUUUAUAGAUGUCUAAUUUACAUGAAUGUUACGCUUCUGGCUUCCUCCUCACCUAGGUUUUCUAAAAUGCUGUAGAGGACUCAGUCACAGCGCUCUCUUGUAUUUCAUUUACCCAUUCCCUUGCUGUGGUUACUCGGUUGUUUCCAAACUAUUUCCAACAAUGCAGCAAUGAACAUCCUGUACCUGACUCCCUGUCCACUCCAGAAGUUUCUCCAGGGCUAGGCUCUCAAGCCGUUUUUGACGCAGUUACCAUUAUAAUGCUAUACAUACGCACAUAUGUAAGAAACACACAUGGAAGAAAAGUUUCACAAAACAUGACUUAACCUAACAUGCAGUGUUCUCUGAUUUCUUUAGAUUUUAUGCCAUUUAACUCUUUUUAAGCCUCUCAUAACCCACCAGAUUAACUGUUUUUAUUUAUAUAAAUUUAAGGGGUGGGGGUCACACCUGUAGUCCCAGCACUUUGGGAGACUGAAGUGGGAGGAUCACUUGAGCCCAGGAGUUCGAGACCAGCCUGGGCAACAUGGCGAAACCCUGUCUCUACCAAAAAUACAAAAAUUAGCUAGGCAUAGUGGUGCACACCUGUAGUCUCAGCUACUCGGGAGGCUGAGGUUGCAGUGAGUUGAGAUCGUGCCACUGCACUCCAGCCUGGGCAACAAAGCAAGACCCUGUAUCUAAACAAAUAAACAAAAAGAAUCUAAGAUUCUGUGAGACCAAGAAGCUGUCUUUGGCCAGACAUAGUGGCUCAAGCCUGUAAUCUCAGCAAUUUGGGAGGCCAAGGCAAACGGAUCACUUGAGGUCAGGAGUUUGAGACCAGCCCAGUCAAUAUGGGUGAAACCCCAUCUCUACUAAAAAUACAAAAAUUAGCCAGGCAUGGUAGCACACGCCUGUAAUCCCAGCUACUCUGAGGCUGAGGCCUGAGAAUCGCUUGAGCCCGGGAGGUGGAGGUUGCGGUGAGCCGAGCAAGAUGGCACCACUGCACUCCAGCCUGGGCUACAGAGAGAGACUCCAUCUCAAAAAAAAAAAAAAACAAAAAAAAAAACCUGUCUUUGAAACAUAACUUCAUGUCACUUAACACCUCAACAAUGUAAUAAUUUCCUUCACUUUCCCAAAACUUAAAGAAACAAAUGAACAAAAUGG